UGAUCCCCAUUGAAAGGAGAUCAUAAGCUUGUUAAUAAAUUGUGAGAAAUUAUGCCCGCAAGUUUGUCGCCUAACGAGCUAGGUGGAGGCUUGGAAAAGAAGCGGUCAAACGAAUCAAGCACGAGAAGAAAACGUAUUCGGAUGCGAGGUAAGUAGAGCUUACGCCCCUUUACAUUAUUUGCAAAGUUACUUAAUUUCAAGUCAUGAUAUGAAUGCUACUAAGUGGUUGGUAUAUGAUAUUCCGACGCGAUUCAAUGAGAGUUGGAAUGAGGGGAAAAUGGUAAAUUAGUCAUGUAAUGACGAAUAAUUAAAAACGGUUUUAAGUAAAACAAGUUCAAAGAAAACCGGGAUAGGUAAAAGGGGUGAAAUGGUAAUUAAAUACCAUCUCAACACGGACAAAUGGUCAAUUAGACUAAAUGGGUCAAAUGGUGUGGAUAACACCAUUUGGCAAUAACAAUUGACAAUCGCUUGUUGAGUUUUGUGAUUUCAGGAAAUAACAUGUGUUGCGUUGCUUUAAUUAGAAAAUUUAAAGCAAGAAGUAUGUAAACGGGUCAAUACUAUGAUCCGAGCCAGGUACGCAUAUGUGAAUUUAUAGUUAAAAGUGCAAGAAGGUCUAACAUCUAGCCGAAAUCCUUCAUUUCAAAAUGAAGGACUAAAUGUGACCAAAGAGCCCUUAAUAGGUAAACAAUGUAAACGACCCUUAGAGGUUGCCUAGAAACUUAUAUUAUGAGUUUGAAACCCUUAGAUGUGUAUAAAAGUUCUAGGCAAAAACAAUUGCGGGUCGAACGCCUAGAAAUAGUUAAUUGCGGAAAAAUGACCAACCGAUAGGUAAAAUUGGGAAAAAGGGGUUCAUAUGUUAAAUCCACCACAAAAAAGUUGUGGUGGAAUAUUUCUAGUUAAUUAGACAUGGAAAAUAUUGUAGUAUCAAAAGAAAAGCACAAGUUCUAGACCAAAAUGCGUAAAUACCCUUAACGGGUCGAAAUAGAAGUAUUAGCGAAACGAGUUAAGAAUGUGUAAUAACCCGUGAUUUGAACCUUGUACAAUAGGAAAUAAUCAUAAUAUUAUGUUUACGAAAGAAACAAGGGCCACAAUCAAGUUUGUUAGAUGAAUUCAUGAACGGGUCAAAAUUUGGGUAAAAAUGGUAAUAAGCCGAAG
rnacentral:lncRNA from 1 species